CCUACGGGAGACUGCAGUGGGGAAUAUUGCACAAUGGGCGCAACCCUGAUGCAGCGACGCCGCGUGAGUGAAGAAGUAUCUCGGUACGUAAAGCUCUAUUUGCAGGGAAGAAAAUGACGGUACCUGACUAAGAAGCCGCGGCUAACUACGUGCCGGCAGCCGCGGUUAUACGGAGGGGGCAAGCGUUAUCCGGAUUUACUGGGUGUAAAGGGAGCGUAGACGGCAGGACAAGUCAGCAGUGAAAUCCCGGGGCUUAACCCCGGAACUGCUUUGGAAACUGUGCGGCUGGAGUACAGGAGGGGUAGGCGGAAUUCCUAGUGUAGCGGUGAAAUGCGUAGAUAUUAGGAGGAACACCGGUGGCGAAGGCGGUUUACUGGACUGCAACUGACGUUGAGGCUCGAAAGCGUGGGGAGCAAACAGGAUUAGAUACCCGAGUAGUC
rnacentral:rRNA from 1 species